rnacentral:sRNA from 1 species
UGAUACCAAGUGUCAAAAGGUCUAAAAUCCAACGCAAGCUUGCUUGCAGGAGGAUUUUGGAACUUGGGGCACGUAAAACAUGAGUAAGUAGCCAUUUUUCGAAGAAAAAUGAGCGGAUUACGAAUGUUUAAAGAUUGCGAGAGUGCAAAGCACGUAGCAAUCUGGUAUCA